rnacentral:rRNA from 1 species
CUCCGGGUUGAUCCUGCCGGACCCGACUGCUAUCAGAGUGAGAUUAAGCCAUGCGAGUUAACGUAGCAAUACGUGGCGCACGGCUCAGUAACACGUAGUCAACAUGCCCAGAGGACGUGGAUAACCUCGGGAAACUGAGUCUAAACCGCGAUAAGUGAGGAUUUCUGGAAUGGUUCCUGACUAAAAUCUAUAUGGCCUCUGGAUUGGACUGCGGCCGAUCAGGCUGUUGGUGAGGUAAUGGCCCACCAAACCUGUAACCGGUACGGGCUCUGAGAGGAGGAGCCCGGAGAUGGGCACUGAGACAAGGGCCCAGGCCCUAUGGGGCGCAGCAGGCGCGAAACCUCUGCAAUAGGCGAAGGCCUGACAGGGUUACUCUGAGUGACUUUCGCUAAGAAAGUCUUUUGGCACCUCUAAAAAGGGUGCAGAAUAAGGGGUGGGCAAGUCUGGUGUCAGCCGCCGCGGUAAUACCAGCACCCCGAGUGGUCGGGACGUUUAUUGGGCCUAAAGCAUCCGUAGCCGGUUCUACAAGUCUUCCGUUAAAUCCACCUGCUUAACAGAUGGGCUGCGGAAGAUACUAUAGAGCUAGGAGGCGGGAGAGGCAAGCGGUACUCGAUGGGUAGGGGUAAAAUCCGUUGAUCCAUUGAAGACCACCAGUGGCGAAGGCGGCUUGCCAGAACGCGCUCGACGGUGAGGGAUGAAAGCUGGGGGAGCAAACCGGAUUAGAUACCCGGGUAGUCCCAGCUGUAAACGAUGCAGACUCGGUGAUGAGUUGGCUUAUUGCUAACUCAGUGCCGCAGGGAAGCCGUUAAGUUUGCAACCUGGGGAGUACGGUCGCAAGACUGAAACUUAAGGGAUUGGCGGGGGAGCA